UACGUAGGCAGCAAGCGUUGUUCGGAGUUACUGGGCGUAAAGAGCGCGCAGGCGGUCGUUCAAGUCGCGUGUGAAAGCCCCCGGCUCAACUGGGGAGGGUCACGCGAUACUGAUCGACUCGAAGGCAGGAGAGGGUAGUGGAAUUCCCGGUGUAGUGGUGAAAUGCGUAGAUAUCGGGAGGAACACCCGUAGCGAAGGCGGCACUCUGGGCCGGAACUGACGCUGAGGAGCGAAAGCGUGGGGAGCAAACAGG
rnacentral:rRNA from 1 species